AACGAACGCUGGCGGCAUGCCUAACACAUGCAAGUCGAACGAGAUCUUCGGGUCUAGUGGCGCACGGGUGCGUGACGCGUGGGAAUCUGCCCUUUGGUUCGGAAUAACAGUUGGAAACGACUGCUAAUACCGGAUGAUGACGAAAGUCCAAAGAUUUAUCGCCAGAGGAUGAGCCCGCGUAGGAUUAGCUAGUUGGUGUGGUAAAGGCGCACCAAGGCGACGAUCCUUAGCUGGUCUGAGAGGAUGAUCAGCCACACUGGGACUGAGACACGGCCCAGACUCCUACGGGAGGCAGCAGUGGGGAAUAUUGGACAAUGGGCGAAAGCCUGAUCCAGCAAUGCCGCGUGAGUGAUGAAGGCCUUAGGGUUGUAAAGCUCUUUUACCCGGGAUGAUAAUGACAGUACCGGGAGGAUAAGCUCCGGCUAACUCCGUGCCAGCCGCCGCAGUAA
rnacentral:rRNA from 1 species